rnacentral:lncRNA from 1 species
AAUGUAGAAAUGUUGUCUAUUUCAAUGAUAAAAAGUGAAUACAACAUAAAUAUACUACAAAAGUGUGUACAAACUGGAUAUAUUACAUCUUACUUGCAUAAGAAUAAGAGCAAUAAGUAUAUCUCUAACUUAACAACACUAUCUAAAGACACAACCAAUGGAGUUACAACUUGUUGAAGUGAAUACAUGAGCAGAUUGUAAUCUAGAAAAUCUAGUUGUUACAUUUCACUCCCAAUCUUAUAUGGGAUUAGUAGGAGUUGAAGAACCUUUGGACUCGUCCAGUUUGGGAAACGUGUACACUGUAUUGGCCAAAAUACGAUUACCUUUUCUGGUUUAUAUUGCAGAUCCUUCGUUUGCUUCACCCGCAAUAUGAUCAUUCAGCAGAGCGGCAAAUGAAGAAUCUGCAACAUAGAAUAGAAAGAUAAUCUAUGCAGCAAAAUCAACCCUCGUGUGUCUCUUUGAUCCUCAUGGCUGCUCUCAAGUGUAGUUAAACGGAAGACUUUCAAUACUGAAGCAGACGAUGAAGGCUCUUGCCGGAGGCACGAUCAGAACAAAAUACAGAGCUAAAACCCACUGGAAGCUGUCAUGUGUGUCUCUGUGCACCUGAUCCUGCUCUGACUGUAAUCCACUCAAUAGAAGCAGUCUGAAGAAGCACUCAUAUCAAAUUUCGGUCCACACUCAUGACAACAACACUGAUGCCCACACUUCUAUCACAUAGUGACAUUAAAAUUAAGCGUCUAUGUGCUACCGCUCACGGAGAAAACGCUAACAGUAAAGAACUCCAGAAUCAGGGGUAUAUCAUGCUCUUGACAAUGACUUGAGGAACAUUGGAGAGCCCUGCCAGAAUGAGAGGCGCUGCGAUUACGGCGCAAAACCUGUAUAUCACAUGAAUAUGUGUACCGACCCCAGCAACAAGAUAGGGGUGGAAAGUUGGGAUGUACGUGGAUGUGUGUACUUCCACCAAUGAGCAAGUGAAUCGUACUCACUGAGAGGUACAGUGAAAGUUUCCUUUACAGCGGACGCAGAAUAGUCGGAAACAUUCCAAUCUAUCAGACUUGCAGCCACCUAUUUUCUAUCGGCCUAGUGGCUAAAUCAAUCUAUUGACGAAGAUCAAUGAUAAAUGAAACAUCAGCUUAAAAGAACAACUACGUAGGCAAAGUCCCUCCGCAAACCCCCCCCCCCCCCUCCCCCAAAAUGUACGCUUCACCGCAAACUACAGUAAAAAAUGAACUUUUUAGUUGAUACACGAAAUCUUCAACGAAUUCUCCUCUGUUAGUCCUCUUUUAACUUCGAUGAUGAACCUUGACUUCAGAGAAUCUUCAUCUACAACGGCUGCUUUACAGACCUCAUACAUUCGCUUGUGCAUGAACAAGCAUCAUGUCCACCGGCACGGUCUAGGCGCGAUCGACUUUUACACACGACUGUUUUUUCGCUCGGAAAUCUCGGUUGGCUCAUGGAAAUUAUUUCACUGUUUUAAUGUUUAGGGACACAUUCGAGGAUAGACUCUUAAAUCUUCUCUUCUCUGCGGGAAACUAUUAACGAUCAACUAUCCCACCAACGAAGCAGGUUCAUUCGAAAUAUCACGGAAGGAAGGUCCGCGUCUGAAAUGAGACUAGGAGGCCGUCCGAAGUGCACCAGAAAAUCUCGAAACUCGCUUGCACACCGAAAUGCGAGGCAGCGAAUACGCCACAACAUAGUUCAAGAUCGGCUACAGCGCUCAACUGUCGACGUUAAUCUAAGGAAGAAGCUCGUCCGGGAACACCGAGAAGUCAAGAACAAGCGCUUGCUUGGCUACGCUCCUCAUGCGCCCCAACUUUCUCUCAUACCGACCCACCGAAGUAUCGACCUGCGGGAAUGCACUGAAUGUGCACGCGAGAACUGGACUCUGAUAUGAACCAAGUCAAGUUGGAAUCCUUAUAUGCACAAGAAAUACCCGCAUUAGGUCCGUGUAGGCGUCCUCGAUCACGUUAUUAAGAGCAGGGGCCACGUCAAUCGAUGCGUGAAUUCAGAGCUGGAAGACGUUACCUAUUUUACCACACAUCCACAGCCACACUCCAACGUACAUGAAUUUCAUUGCAACUGCUCCCUGCUAAAUUGCUUUCAGUGACGUCUAGCUUGAUUAGGGUCAACUUUUUAGUGGAAGGUUUUUGGGGCUUUCGCAAUCGUCGGGAAGGCCUAUUCACACCUAACCUUCUCGUGGCCAACAAGAUUACGAGGAGCACCUAGAGAUAGCUUU